CAAACCCCAUAACAACAGGAGGGGCCUAGGGAGCCCUCCCUACCCUCUUAAAUACCAUCAAUAAAUGCUGGAGAUUGGAAGAAG